AGAGAACCUGCACACAGGUGCUGCAUGGCUGUCGUCAGCUCGUGUCGUGAGAUGUUGGGUUAAGUCCCGCAACGAGCGCAACCCUUGUCAUUAGUUGCUACGAAAGAGCACUCUAAUGAGACUGCCGGUGACAAACCGGAGGAAGGUGGGGAUGACGUCAAGUCCUCAUGGCCCUUAUGGGUAGGGCUUCACACGUCAUACAAUGGUACAUACAGAGGGCCGCCAACCCGCGAGGGGGAGCUAAUCCCAGAAAGUGUAUCGUAGUCCGGAUUGUAGUCUGCAACUCGACUGCAUGAAGUUGGAAUCGCUAGUAAUCGCGGAUCAGCAUGUCGCGGUGAAUACGUUCCCGGGUCUUGUACACACCGCCCGUCACACCAUGGGAGCGGGUUUUACCAGAAGUAGGUAGNUUANCCGCAAGGAGGGCGCUUAC
rnacentral:rRNA from 1 species